rnacentral:rRNA from 1 species
GAUGAACGCUGGCGGCGUGCCUAAUACAUGCAAGUCGAGCGAACAGAUGAGGAGCUUGCUCCUCUGACGUUAGCGGCGGACGGGUGAGUAACACGUGGAUAACCUACCUAUAAGACUGGGAUAACUUCGGGAAACCGGAGCUAAUACCGGAUAAUAUAUUGAACCGCAUGGUUCAAUAGUGAAAGGCGGUUUUGCUGUCACUUAUAGAUGGAUCCGCGCCGCAUUAGCUAGUUGGUAAGGUAACGGCUUACCAAGGCAACGAUGCGUAGCCGACCUGAGAGGGUGAGCGGCCACACUGGAACUGAGACACGGUCCAGACUCCUACGGGAGGCAGCAGUAGGGAAUCUUCCGCAAUGGGCGAAAGCCUGACGGAGCAACGCCGCGUGAGUGAUGAAGGUCUUCGGAUCGUAAAACUCUGUUAUUAGGGAAGAACAAAUGUGUAAGUAACUAUGCACGUCUUGACGGUACCUAAUCAGAAAGCCACGGCUAACUACGUG